UAGGGAAUCUUCCGCAAUGGGCGAAAGCCUGACGGAGCAACGCCGCGUGAGUGAUGAAGGUCUUCGGAUCGUAAAACUCUGUUAUUAGGGAAGAACAAAUGUGUAAGUAACUAUGCACGUCUUGACGGUACCUAAUCAGAAAGCCACGGCUAACUACGUGCCAGCAGCCGCGGUAAUACGUAGGUGGCAAGCGUUAUCCGGAAUUAUUGGGCGUAAAGCGCGCGUAGGCGGUUUUUUAAGUCUGAUGUGAAAGCCCACGGCUCAACCGUGGAGGGUGAUUGGAAACUGGAAAACUUGAGUGCAGAAGAGGAAAGUGGAAUUCCAUGGGUAGCGGUGAAAUGCGCAGAGAUAUGGAGGAACACCAGUGGCGAAGGCGGCUUUCUGGUCUGUAACUGACGCUGAUGUGCGAAAGCGUGGGGAUCAAACAGG
rnacentral:rRNA from 1 species